GGCCUGGAUGAGACCCAUCCUGGCAAGAUCUGGGCUGGACCACGUCAGGCCCAAAGAAGGAAGAUGGAGGCUGGAGGAGGGGACAGGGCCUGUGUCGGUCAGCGGAGGAUCGAGACAGACCACUUCUGCCUCCCACCUGGCAGACCCAGGAGGGCCGGGGGUUCUGGGGGGCGGGGGGCGGGGUGGUCUGGGCUGCAGGUGUGUUGUGGCCUGGCUCCCACCCCAGAAGUAAAUCGCUUCAUUUCCCUGUUUCCUCCCAUCCACCGAGCCACAAAGAAGUGUAGGUCCCUUGAUUCAUCCGGAAGAGGAAUUCUUCCAGAAGGAGAAUAUUCAUCUAGGACGGGGCAGAAUUGGGAGAUAAGAGGUGCUGUGGGCUUUGUCAGCAGCCUGGGAGACGGGGGACAUGGAGGAUCACAGCGGCAGAUCUUAAAUCAAAGCCCGGGCCAUCCAUCUUCCAGAAGAGACGGAAAUAACUAGGUGGGUGGCACAGACCGCCACCGCAUGGACAGCGAGAGAUUAGAAAGCUGGAAUCUUGAGCCCCUAAGUCCCUUCACCAAUUUCCCCAAACCCCAGGGACCUGCCUGCUGAAGGGAGAACUCAUUUUAGACUUAGCCCAGGAGGGUCCGUGGGCUCGAUUGCAGAAAAUUCCUCUGUCUGGGGGCUUCUGAAGGCCCUUCCCCCACCACUGUUCUCUUAGCCCCCUUGCCCAUAGUUUCUCCUUGCAGGCACCCUCACGAGAGUCAGGCUGGCAGUGGUGGGGUAGCCGAGUGGUUAGUGGGUGUGCCAGACCGAUGGCUCAAAUCCUGGCUCCACUGCUCACCAGCUCUGCAAAGCUGGGCAAGCUGCAAAGAGACGGUUUGGCUCUCAGUUUCCUUAUCUAUAAAGCAGGAAGGAGGGGUUCCCAUCGUGGCUCAGUGGAAACGAAUCUGACUGGCAACCAGGAGGACACAGGUUCGAUCCCUGGUCUUGCUCAGUGGGUUAAGGAUCUGGCGUAGCCCUGAGCUGUGGUGUAGGUCACAGAUGCGGCUCAGAUCUGGUGUGGCNCAAAAAAAAAAAAAAAAAAAAAAAAAGAAAUCUCCAAACAGGAACGAUAUACCAGCUUCAGAGGGUUGUUUGGAGGAUUAAACAAAAUCAUGCACACAAAGCAAAGGGCAAGAUGUCUGACACAGGGUAAGACCUCAAACAUUAACCAUGAAUGUUAAUCUUCUUGUUAUCCCGCAGGUGGGCUCCAUCCAGCUAGCUGCUGCUGCUCCCCACAGGCUCUCCUGCUCUUUUGCCUUUUUACACCCUAUCCAUCCCUCAAGCCUCAGUUUCAUUUCCCCUUCCUCCAGGAAGCCCUCCCUGAAUGACCCUCCGAGGCGCCUCUGACUCCCAAGGCUGCCAAUGUCGGACUCAGUCACAUUGGUGGCAACUGCCUUUUGCUGCUUCAUUGGAUCCAAAUUCCCUGAGCAAAGACCUGUUUUCUCCCUCCCACCUC
rnacentral:lncRNA from 1 species